UCUGAUUGAUAAUAGUAAUGGUUAACAUACGACGCUCUCAUUCCUUGAUCCGUCGAGCUCGGGGUUCGAUUCCCCGUACCGGAG